UUGAACGCUGGCGGCAUGCCUUACACAUGCAAGUCGAACGGCAGCACGGGGGCAACCCUGGUGGCGAGUGGCGAACGGGUGAGUAAUACAUCGGAACGUGUCCUGUAGUGGGGGAUAGCCCGGCGAAAGCCGGAUUAAUACCGCAUACGCUCUACGGAGGAAAGGGGGGGAUCUUCGGACCUCCCGCUAGAGGGGCGGCCGAUGGCAGAUUAGCUAGUUGGUGGGGUAAAGGCCUACCAAGGCGACGAUCUGUAGCUGGUCUGAGAGGACGACCAGCCACACUGGGACUGAGACACGGCCCAGACUCCUACGGGAGGCAGCAGUGGGGAAUUUUGGACAAUGGGCGCAAGCCUGAUCCAGCAAUGCCGCGUGUGUGAAGAAGGCCUUCGGGUUGUAAAGCACUUUUGUCCGGAAAGAAAACCGCCUGGCUAAUAUCCGGGUGGGAUGACGGUACCGGAAGAAUAAGCACCGGCUAACUACGUGCCAGCAGCCGCGGUAAUACGUAGGGUGCAAGCGUUAAUCGGAAUUACUGGGCGUAAAGCGUGCGCAGGCGGUCCGCUUAAACAGAUGUGAAAUCCCCGGGCUUAACCUGGGAACUGCAUUUGUGACUGGCGGGCUA
rnacentral:rRNA from 1 species